rnacentral:rRNA from 1 species
AUUGAACGCUGGCGGCAGGCCUAACACAUGCAAGUCGAGCGGAUGAAGGGAGCUUGCUCCUGGAUUCAGCGGCGGACGGGUGAGUAAUGCCUAGGAAUCUGCCUGGUAGUGGGGGAUAACGUCCGGAAACGGGCGCUAAUACCGCAUACGUCCUGAGGGAGAAAGUGGGGGAUCUUCGGACCUCACGCUAUCAGAUGAGCCUAGGUCGGAUUAGCUAGUUGGUGGGGUAAAGGCCUACCAAGGCGACGAUCCGUAACUGGUCUGAGAGGAUGAUCAGUCACACUGGAACUGAGACACGGUCCAGACUCCUACGGGAGGCAGCAGUAGGGAAUAUUGGACAAUGGGCGCAAGCCUGAUCCAGCCAUGCCGCGUGUGUGAAGAAGGUCUUCGGAUUGUAAAGCACUUUAAGUUGGGAGGAAGGGCAGUAAGUUAAUACCUUGCUGUUUUGACGUUACCAACAGAAUAAGCACCGGCUAACUUCGUG